CUACGUGCCAGCAGCCGCGGUAAUACGGAAGGUCCUGGCGUUAUCCGGAUUUAUUGGGUUUAAAGGGAGCGCAGGCUGCACUUUAAGCGUGUUGUGAAAUGUACCGGCUCAACCGGUAACGUGCAGCGCGGACUGGGGUGCUUGAGUACGAAGAGGGAAAGCGGAACUCGUGGUGUAGCGGUGAAAUGCUUAGAUAUCACGAGGAACUCCGAUCGCGAAGGCAGCUUUCCGUUUCGGAACUGACGCUGAGGCUCGAAAGUGCGGGUAUCGAACAGGAUUAGAUACCCUGGUAGUCCGCACGGUAAACGAUGGAUGCUCGCUGUUGGAUAUUUUUAUUCAGUGGCUAAGUGAAAACGUUAAGCAUCCCACCUGGGGAGUACGCCGGCAACGGUGAAACUCAAAGGAAUUGACGGGGGCCCGCACAAGCGGAGGAACAUGUGGUUUAAUUCGAUGAUACGCGAGGAACCUUACCCGGGCUUGA
rnacentral:rRNA from 1 species